UACGUAGGGUGCAAGCGUUGUCCGGAAUUAUUGGGCGUAAAGAGCGUGUAGGCGGCCCGAUUAGUCCGCUGUGAAAGUCCAGGGCUCAACCCUGGAAUGCCGGUGGAUACUGUCGGGCUAGAGUCCGGAAGGGGCGAGUGGAAUUCCUGGUGUAGCGGUGAAAUGCGCAGAUAUCAGGAGGAACACCAAUGGCGAAGGCAAUCCCCUGGGCCUGUACUGACGCUCAUGCACGAAAGCGUGGGGAGCAAACAGG
rnacentral:rRNA from 1 species